AAAUAAGAGAAUUAACUCACCCGUAUUUUGCCCUUAUGGUUUUGUUGCUUCAUAGAAGAAAAGCCUUGUGGCUCUACAAAGAUGCUGGUUCCUUUGGCAGAGGGAGUAGCAAGCAUGUUGCUCAGCCAUUCAACACUCUUCAGGUGUUCUAAAAACCCUCUUUGUGGUAGAAGGGCAUGGCACUCCAAAGGCAUCACCCACAGUGGGGUACAGCAGUGGUGCAGAAGAGCCAUCCCUCCUGAGGAGGCCCAGAGAGACUCUUUGUCUCUACUGUCCCCUUUCCUCCAUCUCCAGGCCAUAGCCACAGCAUCUGCCUUCUUCAGAUGCUGGUCUCUGCUGCCCAUGUUUGUCCAUGAAAAGACAGAGAUCAUCAUCUGCUGCUACCUGAAACCCAAUGGUAAUGAGAUGGUGACAAACUCAGAAGCUGCUAAGCAUGUGAGCUUUCUCAUAAUGCAAGAUGGGAAGAAAUCUGAAAUGGAAAAGUUUCUGAGGACAGGUCAAAAAGUGACACAAAAAUAUGCAAAGAGAUGGGAGUAA
rnacentral:lncRNA from 1 species